UCCCAGGUGGCUCAGUGGUAAAGAAUCUACCUGCCAGUGUAGAAGAUGCAGGUUCAAUCCCUGUGUUGGGAA
rnacentral:tRNA from 1 species